GCCGACCUGACCCUCGCUGGCGCGGGGUGCGGACUUCAAAUCCGUAGGGGCUUAGCGGCCCAGUGGUUCGAUUCCACCUGGUCGGCG
rnacentral:tRNA from 1 species